GAUGAACGCUGGCGGCGCGCCUAACACAUGCAAGUCGAACGAUUAAAGCACCUUCGGGUGUGUAUAAAGUGGCGAACGGCUGAGUAACACGUGGGCAACCUGCCCCUCUCAUUGGGAUAGCCACGGGAAACCGUGGAUAAUACCGAAUACUUCGAGACUUCCGCAUGGAAGACUCGAGAAAGCUCCGGCGGAGAGGGAUGGGCCCGCGGCCUGUUAGCUUGUUGGUGGGGUAACGGCCUACCAAGGCAAUGAUGGGUAGCUGGGUUGAGAGACCGACCAGCCAGAUUGGGACUGAGACACGGCCCAGACUCCUACGGGAGGCAGCAGUGGGGAAUCUUGCACAAUGGGCGAAAGCCUGAUGCAGCGACGCCGCGUGCGGGAUGAAGGCCUUCGGGUUGUAAACCGCUUUCAGCAGGGACGAGGCGAAAGUGACGGUACCUGUAGAAGAAGCCCCGGCUAACUACGUGCCAGCAGCCGCGGUAAUACGUAGGGGGCAAGCGUUAUCCGGAUUCAUUGGGCGUAACGCGCUCGUAGGCGGUUUGUUAGGUCGGGAUUAAAUCCGGGUUUUCAACCUCUGUUUAGUUCUCAAUACGGCAGAUUGAAACAGAGAGGGGGAAGGUGUUCUCCCAGCUGCACCUGUUCUCCCCUCCCAGAUCGUAGUUUAUUUUUUUUUUAUUGUUUGUAGUGGGGGGGGCGCAGCGCCCUUUUAUGUUACCAUU
rnacentral:rRNA from 1 species